UUAAGCGACUAAGCGUACACGGUGGAUGCCCUGGCAGUCAGAGGCGAUGAAGGACGUGCUAAUCUGCGAUAAGCGUCGGUAAGGUGAUAUGAACCGUUAUAACCGGCGAUUUCCGAAUGGGGAAACCCAGUGUGAUUCGUCACACUAUCAUUAACUGAAUCCAUAGGUUAAUGAGGCGAACCGGGGGAACUGAAACAUCUAAGUACCCCGAGGAAAAGAAAUCAACCGAGAUUCCCCCAGUAGCGGCGAGCGAACGGGGAGCAGCCCAGAGCCUGAAUCAGUGUGUGUGUUAGUGGAAGCGUCUGGAAAGGCGCGCGAUACAGGGUGACAGCCCCGUACACAAAAAUGCACAUACUGUGAGCUCGAUGAGUAGGGCGGGACACGUGGUAUCCUGUCUGAAUAUGGGGGGACCAUCCUCCAAGGCUAAAUACUCCUGACUGACCGAUAGUGAACCAGUACCGUGAGGGAAAGGCGAAAAGAACCCCGGCGAGGGGAGUGAAAAAGAACCUGAAACCGUGUACGUACAAGCAGUGGGAGCACGCUUAGGCGUGUGACUGCGUACCUUUUGUAUAAUGGGUCAGCGACUUAUAUUCUGUAGCAAGGUUAACCGAAUAGGGGAGCCGAAGGGAAACCGAGUCUUAACUGGGCGUUAAGUUGCAGGGUAUAGACCCGAAACCCGGUGAUCUAGCCAUGGGCAGGUUGAAGGUUGGGUAACACUAACUGGAGGACCGAACCGACUAAUGUUGAAAAAUUAGCGGAUGACUUGUGGCUGGGGGUGAAAGGCCAAUCAAACCGGGAGAUAGCUGGUUCUCCCCGAAAGCUAUUUAGGUAGCGCCUCGUGAAUUCAUCUCCGGGGGUAGAGCACUGUUUCGGCAAGGGGGUCAUCCCGACUUACCAACCCGAUGCAAACUGCGAAUACCGGAGAAUGUUAUCACGGGAGACACACGGCGGGUGCUAACGUCCGUCGUGAAGAGGGAAACAACCCAGACCGCCAGCUAAGGUCCCAAAGUCAUGGUUAAGUGGGAAACGAUGUGGGAAGGCCCAGACAGCCAGGAUGUUGGCUUAGAAGCAGCCAUCAUUUAAAGAAAGCGUAAUAGCUCACUGGUCGAGUCGGCCUGCGCGGAAGAUGUAACGGGGCUAAACCAUGCACCGAAGCUGCGGCAGCGACGCUGAUGCGUUGUUGGGUAGGGGAGCGUUCUGUAAGCCUGCGAAGGUGUGCUGUGAGGCAUGCUGGAGGUAUCAGAAGUGCGAAUGCUGACAUAAGUAACGAUAAAGCGGGUGAAAAGCCCGCUCGCCGGAAGACCAAGGGUUCCUGUCCAACGUUAAUCGGGGCAGGGUGAGUCGACCCCUAAGGCGAGGCCGAAAGGCGUAGUCGAUGGGAAACAGGUUAAUAUUCCUGUACUUGGUGUUACUGCGAAGGGGGGACGGAGAAGGCUAUGUUGGCCGGGCGACGGUUGUCCCGGUUUAAGCGUGUAGGCUGGUUUUCCAGGCAAAUCCGGAAAAUCAAGGCUGAGGCGUGAUGACGAGGCACUACGGUGCUGAAGCAACAAAUGCCCUGCUUCCAGGAAAAGCCUCUAAGCAUCAGGUAACAUCAAAUCGUACCCCAAACCGACACAGGUGGUCAGGUAGAGAAUACCAAGGCGCUUGAGAGAACUCGGGUGAAGGAACUAGGCAAAAUGGUGCCGUAACUUCGGGAGAAGGCACGCUGAUAUGUAGGUGAAGUCCCUCGCGGAUGGAGCUGAAAUCAGUCGAAGAUACCAGCUGGCUGCAACUGUUUAUUAAAAACACAGCACUGUGCAAACACGAAAGUGGACGUAUACGGUGUGACGCCUGCCCGGUGCCGGAAGGUUAAUUGAUGGGGUUAGCGCAAGCGAAGCUCUUGAUCGAAGCCCCGGUAAACGGCGGCCGUAACUAUAACGGUCCUAAGGUAGCGAAAUUCCUUGUCGGGUAAGUUCCGACCUGCACGAAUGGCGUAAUGAUGGCCAGGCUGUCUCCACCCGAGACUCAGUGAAAUUGAACUCGCUGUGAAGAUGCAGUGUACCCGCGGCAAGACGGAAAGACCCCGUGAACCUUUACUAUAGCUUGACACUGAACAUUGAGCCUUGAUGUGUAGGAUAGGUGGGAGGCUUUGAAGUGUGGACGCCAGUCUGCAUGGAGCCGACCUUGAAAUACCACCCUUUAAUGUUUGAUGUUCUAACGUGGACCCGUAAUCCGGGUUGCGGACAGUGUCUGGUGGGUAGUUUGACUGGGGCGGUCUCCUCCUAAAGAGUAACGGAGGAGCACGAAGGUUGGCUAAUCCUGGUCGGACAUCAGGAGGUUAGUGCAAUGGCAUAAGCCAGCUUGACUGCGAGCGUGACGGCGCGAGCAGGUGCGAAAGCAGGUCAUAGUGAUCCGGUGGUUCUGAAUGGAAGGGCCAUCGCUCAACGGAUAAAAGGUACUCCGGGGAUAACAGGCUGAUACCGCCCAAGAGUUCAUAUCGACGGCGGUGUUUGGCACCUCGAUGUCGGCUCAUCACAUCCUGGGGCUGAAGUAGGUCCCAAGGGUAUGGCUGUUCGCCAUUUAAAGUGGUACGCGAGCUGGGUUUAGAACGUCGUGAGACAGUUCGGUCCCUAUCUGCCGUGGGCGCUGGAGAAUUGAGGGGGGCUGCUCCUAGUACGAGAGGACCGGAGUGGACGCAUCACUGGUGUUCGGGUUGUCAUGCCAAUGGCACUGCCCGGUAGCUAAAUGCGGAAGAGAUAAGUGCUGAAAGCAUCUAAGCACGAAACUUGCCCCGAGAUGAGUUCUCCCUGACUCCUUGAGAGUCCUGAAGGAACGUUGAAGACGACGACGUUGAUAGGCCGGGUGUGUAAGCGCAGCGAUGCGUUGAGCUAACCGGUACUAAUGAACCGUGAGGCUUAACCUU
rnacentral:rRNA from 1 species